GGGAGCGGUACCCGAGCCCGGGAGAAGGACGGGAGGAAGGGGAAAGGGGAAGGGGAAGGAAAGAGAGAGAAAGAAAGAAGGUAGCGGCAGCGCGCACACUCUCACACCCCCGCUGGAAAAGUAAAUACAUCGCUGAAGCCAGAGGCGCGGGGGGGGGGGGGGAGGGGGGCGCUGGGCAAGCUGCCCUCGGGAGGGGCGGGGGGUAGACCGAAGGAAGCCAGCCAAGAGCGGGGACCACCCAAAAGGAAGGGGGACCCAUCCGGAGCCGGCGUCCCCACUCGCCCCCCUCCCCCCCAACCUCCGCGCCGCGGAAUCCCCUCCUCCCGGGAGCCGCGGCCUGGCCCCGAGGGACGACGGCGGCGGCCCCGCGGAGAGCCGAGGGGCGGCGGGGGCCUGGCCCGGCCUGAGGCAAACUUCGGCGGGGAGCGGCGUGCCGGCAGCCAGCCGCCUGCCCCGGAGCGGGGAGGGGGUGGGGGUGGCGGGAGGAGUUCCGCGAGCGGAGAAGCGGGAGGAGAAGGCGCGGGAGAGGAGGGAGCGGGGACACCGUCGCCUAGCCCCUCCGAGCCCAGCCCGCGGCAGCGAGCGGCGGCGCGGGGCAGCGGCUGCAGCUGGGAGAUGCGCAGCGCCGGCCACAAGUUCCCCGCCGCGCACCCGCGGCCGCCACCGGCACGGGGAGGGCUCAGGUUGCAGCAGGAACGGGCUUGGGAGCCGGGCGUGCCCGCACCGCCAGGCCGAGAGUACCCGCGCGCGGCACGGAGACGAAGCCGGAGAACGGAGGUGGCGGCUCGGACGGAGCGCAGGAGCGGCGCGGGGACCUGUUGACCGAGCGAGGCCAGCCCGUGCCGGAGCGGGACCCCGAGCCGAGGGCAGCCCGCCGCCGAGCCGAGCCGAGCCGGGAGCGGCGGGCAGCGAGGGGUCCGAUCGGCGCGAGGCGGGGAGGAGGCGCGGCGCCGGGGGAGCUCCAGGUGCUGCGCUCACGCUGCCCACAGGGCGGGCGAUCGUGUCCGUGCGGCCAUGUGCUCCGUGCGGAGCGCACAUAAAUAAGCGGGUGUGUGCGGCACAGGUAUGUUCAUACGAUUUGAUUUGUAUAUCGUGGAGCGUGUAAAGCUUUUCAAGGUAACUGCGGUGCAGAAGUAAUUACUUUAUUACCUCCGAAACGUUCUGCAGUUCGCAUUUAACAGUGCUCUGAAUAAUUACGAGUCAUUACGCAGCCGUGCGCUCUCCGAAGCCCGCGUACGGCGGCAUACCUGGCCGGGGCCGGUUCUGAUAAAUACCAGGCAGCGUUCCAUCGGUUUUCUUUAAAAACUCGCAGCGAGUUUAUCACUUAGUUAUACCUCAGCCCGCCGUCUCGCUGCACCGCGGCUGAGAUUCCAGCGGUGGCUGCCCCUGCCGCACCGUGAGACGCACUCGACAGCUGAUUGUACGGAUGCUCUCGGGAACGGCAGCGAGCGAGUCCUGCCGGCAGUGUGCCCUCAAUGCUGGCACGGAGUAACUGCGCGGGCGAAGCGGAGCCGUACCUCAGCUCAGCGCUCCCCUCGGCCGGACGGGCGCUGCUGUCGGCAUUGAUCACAAUAACGCGCACUGCCCGCCGCCCCCCGCGCUGCCGUUGUCAUGUGACGAGAGGGCGACAGCAGACCGAGAAAAGGCGUCGGGAGGCGUUCUUGGAGCGCCGUAUCCACGGGCUUUAUUAAAGCAGGAUUGUCUCCUCUUUAGAUGUGAGCUUUCGGUGAAUACGACGAGACUGCUUGUUUUCCCCCGCAAUGAUCACUGCGUUUCUCAAGCAGUUUGCACCUACUUACGGACCUCGCAUCUUCAGCCUUGGAUCUUAAAGGAACUGAUAACUCCUCUUCCAGAAAACUGUUCGGUAACAGGUUUCCUGCCCCGGGCUUUACAAGGAUCGCUCUUGUCUCAGAGCCACCGUGUACGUACGAUUCUUUUUUUUCACGGAUUUUGGUGGGGGUUUUUUUUGUUUUUUUUUUUUGUUUUUUUUUUUGUUUUUUGUUUUUUGUUUUUUGUUUUUUUUUUUUGCGGGGGGUGGGGGAGGGCGUUAUAUAUUUUUCUGUUACCUUUUCUGCCUGUGAAGUAAUCAGGGAGAACGGCGGGAGGCUCCAUAAAUAUGCAAAUUGGCGCCAGAUAACUGGUUUCGCUGGUUCCGCCUUGGGACUCCCGCCGGGCGGCUCCGCGGGGGAGAUUGUCGCCCCCGGCCCCACGACCCGCCCCCUCUCCCCCCUCCCCGCGCCGGGCACCGCUCUCCGAGCGCGGUCCUUCCCCUCUCCCCGCCGCUGCCGCAGCUCUUCGACGCGUGCCCGCGCCUUCCAGCUCCCUGGCAGCGUCCCGAAGGAGCACCGCGUCUCGUGGCUGCUGGGUGUCACGGGGCAAAAAGUGCGGUAGGCUGAACCGUGCUCGGGCCCUUAUCCUUUCUAACUCGGCAUCCGAAGGAUUAAAAGCAGUAACUGGCUUCCGAAUUGUAAAAUGUUAAAAUGAAAGUUUGAUUCGUGGUUAAACACUCGCGGGAGCGCAUCCUUUGUGGAUUCUGAUUUGACUCUGCUGUUAAACCGACAUCGGUACUGCGCUGACGCUUUAAUUAAUAAAAGUGGUUAGAGUCCUCUCUGUCAUCUCGUUGCUUACCAGCCUCCACACAAACCGUUUCAAGAUUCUGUCUAAAUAGGAGAAUGAGAAGGGAAACAUAAGCCGCCAAAGUUACUUUGAAGGCAGAGAAGCCAGGCGGCUGACACUGAGAGGCAGGGUUUGGUCUGCAGCUCUCCGCAAUCGUCGCAGCUCCCCGCCGCGGAAGCCCGCCCGGCAGCCCGUGCUGCGACGGCACUGCGCUCGCGGAGCGCAGAGGGUGGGAGGGGAGAGGCGCUGCCACUGCCCCCGAGAUUCCCUGUGCCUGUGGAGCCGGGCCUCGCUGGGAAGGAGACGGGGGCGGC
rnacentral:lncRNA from 1 species